GCGACCAUAGCGUAGCGGUUAUCGCGCUUGCCUCCCACGCGAAGGGCCAGGGUUCGAUUCCUGGCCGCG
rnacentral:tRNA from 1 species